UACGUAGGGUGCGAGCGUUAUCCGGAAUUAUUGGGCGUAAAGAGCUCGUAGGCGGUUUGUCGCGUCUGCUGUGAAAACCCGAGGCUCAACCUCGGGCCUGCAGUGGGUACGGGGCAGACUAGAGUGCGGUAGGGGAGAUUGGAAUUCCUGGUGUAGCGGUGGAAUGCGCAGAUAUCAGGAGGAACACCGAUGGCGAAGGCAGAUCUCUGGGCCGUAACUGACGCUGAGGAGCGAAAGCAUGGGGAGCGAACAGG
rnacentral:rRNA from 1 species